rnacentral:rRNA from 1 species
GUUCCGACCCGCACGAAAGGCGUAAUGAUUUGAGCGCUGUCUCGACAAUGCAUCCGGUGAAAUUGAAGUGCCAGUGAAGAUGCUGGCUACCCGCGCCAGGACGGAAAGACCCCAUGGAGCUUUACUCCAGUUUGGUACUGGGAUCCGGUAUUGCAUGUACAGGAUAGGUGGGAGGCUGAGAAAUGGUGACGCCAGUCGCCAUGGAGCCAUUGUUGGGAUACCACCCUUGCGGUAUUGGGUUUCUAACCUGCGGCCGUGAACCGGCCGGGGGACAAUGCCAGGCGGGGAGUUUGACUGGGGCGGUCGCCUCCGAAAGGGUAUCGGAGGCGCCCAAAGGUUCCCUCAGAAUGGUCGGAAACCAUUCGAAGAGUGCAAAGGCAGAAGGGAGCUUGACUGCGACACCGACGGGUGGAGCAGGUACGAAAGUAGGGCUUAGUGAUCCGGUGGUAUUAAGUGGGAAUGCCAUCGCUCAACGGAUAAAAGCUACCCUGGGGAUAACAGGCUUAUCUCUCCCAAGAGUCCAUAUCGACGGGGAGGUUUGGCACCUCGAUGUCGGCUCAUCACAUCCUGGGGCUGAAGUUGGUCCCAAGGGUAUGGCUGUUCGCCAUUUAAAGUGGUACGCGAGCUGGGUUCAAAACGUCGUGAGGCAGUUUGGUCCCUAUCUACCGCGGGCGUGGGAUAAUUGAGGGGGAUUGUUCCUAGUACGAGAGGACCGGAAUGAACGAACCGCUGGUUUACGGGUUGUCAUGCCCAUGGCACGGCCCGGCAGCCAAGUUCGGAACUGAUAACCGCUGAAAGCAUCUAAGCGGGAAGCAGGCCCCAAGAUGAGUUAUCCGAGUUUUAAACAUAAGGGCCGUUGUAGACGACGACGUUGAUAGGCUGGAUGUGGAAGUCUUGUGAGAGAUGAAGCUAGCCAGUACUAAUGACCCGAAAGCUUGACCAU